rnacentral:lncRNA from 1 species
CAUAACUAAAGCAGUGAGGAGGCUUUCAGAAAUCUAGCUUGAAAAACUUUUCCAAUAAAACAUAUGCUUGCAUUACGAGUUUUUUUGUGAAAGUUUUCCAAGUGAUCUUGAGGAUGUUAAUCCCUAUACAACAACAAUGUUGCACUGAAGCUUCUCCCCCACAAUGCUUCUCCUCAUGCUUCAAAUGCUUGAGCAGCAGCAACAUACAAUUUAAUAAGCAAAAAUAACAAUUAGAUAAUGCAGGAUGUAUUAAAGAAACUACUGAUUUAGUAGUUGACCAUUACUUGUCUAACACAACCCAGCUUGCAUG